GAUUUUAGUGUUCAUCGUUGGGUUUUGCCCUGAAUUUUUAUGUUCAUGUUCCUCUAAUACGCCCCUACAGUGCAUGGCGGAGGGGCGUGUAGGAAGGGAAGUGGUCCACGGCACAGCAGCCAGACAGCAGCCACAGCAAGAGAAGCCGGUCUUCUUUCUCGUCCCCCAAUAUUCCUUCUAGACUAUAAGCCUGUUGGUUGGUGCCACCCACACUCAGCCUGGAGCUUCCCAUUUUCCACAUCCAGAACUGAGAUAUUUGGAUUUUUUCUGAGAACUGAUGUAUGCUGCCUCAGAGGGCGACAGUCUGUCUUACUGUGGUGUCUGCCAAGAGGAUGAUGCUCUCUGAAUAGCCUCCAUCAACACCCCCCGUCCAUGGGCUGACAAAGUCAUUAGGAGACCUAAAGGAAAUGGGAAGGUCUCUC